rnacentral:rRNA from 1 species
AACGAACGCUGGCGGCAUGCCUAACACAUGCAAGUCGAACGAGACCUUCGGGCCUAGUGGCGCACGGGUGCGUAACGCGUGGGAAUCUGCCCUCUGGUUCGGAAUAACUCAGGGAAACUUGAGCUAAUACCGGAUAAUGACUUCGGUCCAAAGAUUUAUCGCCUGAGGAUGAGCCCGCGUCGGAUUAGCUAGUUGGUGAGGUAAAGGCUCACCAAGGCGACGAUCCGUAGCUGGUCUGAGAGGAUGAUCAGCCACACUGGGACUGAGACACGGCCCAGACUCCUACGGGAGGCAGCAGUGGGGAAUAUUGGACAAUGGGCGAAAGCCUGAUCCAGCAAUGCCGCGUGAGUGAUGAAGGCCUUAGGGUUGUAAAGCUCUUUUACCCGGGAUGAUAAUGACAGUACCGGGAGAAUAAGCCCCGGCUAACUCCGUGCCAGCAGCCGCAGUAA